AUCGAACCUACGAUCUUUGGAAUACUAGCCAUUAUGCUCUGCCAACUGAGCUACGCGGUCAGGACGGUUCGAGUAUGUGAUAUUUCGGAAAUGAGUCUAGUUCCUUCGACAUUAAUGUAAUCUAAUAAUCAUGAUUUUUUAUGUUGGUAUUGUGUACUCAGGUGAAUACGAUGCUUGUGAUGUUACUCUGAGUGUAUUUCCACACCGUGCAAGCUGGAAAAAUAUGCCCGGCCACGGUGGGAAUCGAACCUACGACCUCUGGAAUACUAGCUUUCAAGAUUUCAAGUCCGGCCAACGUUAGUUGAAUUAAGAAUUCUGGAAUUACAGGCCAACGUUAGUUGAAUUAAGAAUUCAGGAAUUACAGGCCAACGUUAGUUGAAUUAAGAAUUCAGGAAUUACAGGCCAACGUUAGUUGAAUUAAGAAUUCUGGAAUUACAGGCCAACGUUAGUUGAAUUAAGAAUUCAGGAAUUACAGGCCAACGUUAGUUGAAUUAAGAAUUCAGGAAUUACAGGCCAACGUUAGUUGAAUUAAGAAUUCAGGAAUUACAGGCCAACGUUAGUUGAAUUAAGAAUUCAGGAAUUACAGGCCAACGUUAGUUGAAUUAAGAAUUCAGGAAUUACAGGCCAACGUUAGUUGAAUUAAGAAUUCAGGAAUUACAGGCCAAAGUUAGUUGAAUUAAGAAUUCAGGAAUUACAGGCCAACGUUAGUUGAAUUAAGAAUUCUGGAAUUACAGGCCAACGUUAGUUGAAUUAAGAAUUCUGGAAUUACAGGCCAACGUUAGUUGAAUUAAGAAUUCUGGAAUUACAGGCCAACGUUAGUGGAAUUAAGAAUUCAGGAAUUACAGGCCAACGUUAGUUGAAUUAAGAAUUCUGGAAUUACAGGCCAACGUUAGUUGAAUUAAGAAUUCUGGAAUUACAGGCCAACGACAGGCCAAGGAAUUACAGGCCAACGUUAGUUGAAUUAAGAAUUCAGGAAUUACAGGCCAAAGUUAGUUGAACAAGACGCUCCACGGAGCGUAAAGUCGCUGGGGCGAUGGAAAUAAGCACAAGUGAUACCACUUAAGAACAGCGUGUUUGUUUUUCCGAAAACAUUGAAUCUUGAAGUUUGCAGUUUGCCUG